rnacentral:lncRNA from 1 species
UGAUGACAUUCCUUCCUGCAUUCAAGUCACCAGCGGGAGGUGCGGUGCCUCGGAGUCGUUGUCGUGUUUGGAGGUUUUGACUGCGGCCUGCCAUGCUGGGAUCCACCUGGAACGGGGUGAGAACAGAGGGCUCUGGAUGGAGAGGAGAGGAGGCCGGGGAGAGACCGCGAGUGUUCCUGGAGCCUGGCGUCUGAGCAGGCCCUUGGAGGAGGGGCAGCACUGAUGGAGAGGAGGCUCAGCACUGAUGGAGAGGAGGCUCCUGCGGACGCGUGGCGGGAACAGCUUCCUCCCAGAGUUCCCUGCAGCCCAGAAUGGGGAGGGGGCACCCAGGGUCGGGGCAGCGGAAGGCCCUGCCUGCCAGGCAGGCUGAUUGGAACGCCCUCCUGUGAGUGAUGGGGGUCCAGGAAAGUUU